GAUGAACGCUGGCGGCGUGCCUAAUACAUGCCAGUCGAGCGAACAGAUGAGGAGCUUGCUCCUCUGACGUUAGCGGCGGACGGGUGAGUAACACGUGGAUAACCUACCUAUAAGACUGGGAUAACUUCGGGAAACCGGAGCUAAUACCGGAUAAUAUAUUGAACCGCAUGGUUCAAUAGUGAAAGACGGUUUUGCUGUCACUUAUAGAUGGAUCCGCGCCGCAUUAGCUAGUUGGUAAGGUAACGGCUUACCAAGGCAACGAUGCGUAGCCGACCUGAGAGGGUGAUCGGCCACACUGGAACUGAGACACGGUCCAGACUCCUACGGGAGGCAGCAGUAGGGAAUCUUCCGCAAUGGGCGAAAGCCUGACGGAGCAACACCGCGUGAGUGAUGAAGGUCUUCGGAUCGUAAAACUCUGUUAUUAGGGAAGAACAAAUGUGUAAGUAACUAUGCACGUCUUGACGGUACCUAAUCAGAAAGCCACGGCUAACUACGUG
rnacentral:rRNA from 1 species